GUCCAUCUAGUUCCAGGACAGUAUGGAAAACGGCUUGGGGGGGGGGGGGGGUCUCUGCGCAAAGCAGACUUCAGCUUUCCUCACUGCCACGGGUGGGAAAGUAAAUGUUCUCAUCCCUGAACUGUCAGUCCUAGAAAAGAGGUAGAGUUGCAUGUGAUGGAACAUGGUCUUAAAGAAUGAAAAGCAUUUCAGAAAUGAUCACUGAGGUUUGAUGUCCCUUUUUCAACUUCAAAAAUGCAAUUCAUACAUUUGAAAUCGUGCUGUGCUCUGUGUGAUGAAAUCUCACUCUAACCUGCUUGGUGCUGCCUGCUGCCGCCGGUCCUCCUCCUCUUCUUCCCCCCUCUACAGUUCUAUCAGAUGGUGCUGUGACUGGGAACAGCAGUCUAACAUAAGUGCAUUCACCAGGGAAGUUGUCCUGGCUAAAACUCCUGGCACCAGCUUCUACCUAGACAUCAACUGUCAUCCCAUCGACUCCCCUAGACCCCAGUACAGCGCCCUCAGCCAGCAGGAAGUUGCUGCCACCGGUCCUCCUCCUCUUUUUCCCCUCUACAGUUCUAUCAAUAAGGACCAGUGAUGUCUCAGGCUCUACAGCAGGGCAUUUGUCCUCAUGGAAAUAACUGGUGGAUGGAAAUCAGAACUGGCUGAAAAGUCUGGGAGGGACUUAAUAUCUUGAUGAGAUUUUGAGAUAUCAACCCUGUGUUUCAAUAACGUCUUUGGGGAUCAUCUGGGAUCUCAAUGGAGGAGGUAACCUCAAGUCUGGCCACUCAGGUCCUGUUAAAUUUCCUGGCAAAGAA